UACGUAGGGUGCGAGCGUUGUCCGGAAUUAUUGGGCGUAAAGAGCUCGUAGGCGGUGUGUCGCGUCGGCCGUGAAAACCUGGGGCUCAACUCUGGGCGUGCGGUCGAUACGGGCAUCACUUGAGUUCGGCAGGGGAGACUGGAAUUCCUGGUGUAGCGGUGAAAUGCGCAGAUAUCAGGAGGAACACCGGUGGCGAAGGCGGGUCUCUGGGCCGAUACUGACGCUGAGGAGCGAAAGCAUGGGUAGCGAA
rnacentral:rRNA from 3 species